UUCAUACAAAUGACAUAAUUGAGCAAGUUGAGAGUAGAUCAAUAGACAAAUUCCUGUAUAUCAAUUGAAACACGCUAGGUGGAUUUGAGUAUGUCUAAAAAUAUUUUUAUCUUUGAACAUGCAAGCAAUGUCAUGGACUUGUGCAAAAGUAGUCACAUAUUUAAUAUUAGGCACGGUCAGAGUAAUUUUUUCUUUCUAGGCUUUGCUUUGAUGAUGCUAAAAAACACUUAAAAACAAUUGAUAAAUGUAAAUUUGUGCAUCUUUUUCUCUAUCUAAUUAAUUAAAAAUAGCCAUUUCACUUGGGAGCCAACUGUCAACACUAAUAAAUAAAUAGUACUCCAGAUUCGUCAUGCUUUCCAGUAAAUCUAAUUUUUGUUAUUUAAAAAUAUAGAUAUUUAAAUGUAGUUUCUCAAGUGCUAAUUUCAUCAGUUAGGUUUUUAAGGUCUUGUGAAGAAAGCUACUGACCAAUGUUUUUAUAGAAACAGCAUCCUAUGUUCUUUUUUGUUUCCAAGGAAAAUAUGACCUGUGCAUGUACUGUUGCUCUUUUUCUGCUUUUAAAAGAUUUUCUUCCAUAACUAUACACUUGUUUCACAGGAACUACUUUUAGAAAGAAAAAAUGUCUUGAAGCUUUUGUGUGUGCUGUAGACCACACUGGAAUUUUGUCACACCUAUUAGCUGAACUUGGGACCUCACAAAUUCAGAGAAACCCACUAAUAAAGAAAAUAUUUACUGCUUUAAAAAGAAAUAUGUACCAUAUAACAUUACAGUAAUCUCUUCUGGGUUUUGUGCGUCUUGAAUAUUUCUGGUAAAUGAUGUCGUUAAAACUGAGAAUAUUAUGAUGAAAACUCUUCGAAACAGUGACACUGUUGUCCGGUUCUCAUCAGCCUCCUGGCAAAUGGUGUUGACACAAAAGUCUCUGUUAUUUCCUAUGUUCAUUUUGCUGGAGUAUUCAGUUUUCCAAAACGUGAAGUCAUAUUCUAACCUUCUAUUUUUAACACUAAGAAUAAAGGUCAGUUUGAAGUCACUAUUCAUAACUAUAUUUUACGCUGUUCUUUAGGAAUGGUAGCUGAAAUGUUUAGGAGUUGGUUUUGGUUUAACGUAGAGAGGGUGUCAAGUUGAACAACAAAUACUUGGAAUUUUCUGUUUAAACUAUCCUAAAUAUGUUUUGUCAUAUAUGUAAAUGCAGAAAACGGGCUUUGUUUUUGCCUGCUAUUUCCAUGGAUGCACACAGGAUGUACCUAAGAAAUAUAUACACAAACCUUCCGCAACUUCUAAGACUCAAAAGGCUGUAAUCUCAGGCUGUGCAUCAAGGUGACUUCCCAAUGGGAAAAAGAUCUAUUGCCUUGUAAAGAUACUUAAUAGGUGAGCUGUCCCCUUUUGCUCCUUUGCAAAGGCAUUGAUUUUAAAAUCCCUCACUUUGGUGCUAAUCAGUUCUAGCUCCACUGAGUUUAGUAGAAAUACUCCCCACCUCAAAGCUGCCAGUGAGCUGACUAGCUGAGAGACAGAACAGUUUCGUUUGCAUUGGUUGUAUUUCCUACAGGAUGAAGGUCACCUGUCUAAACUACAGAGGGUAUAUAGGAAGAAUCUUUAGUCCCAUUCUCAUUAUUGAGGAAGGACUACAGCACCAGGAGAACUGAGGAUAAAUACCAACAAGGCUGGACUCAAAAUGAAGGAGUGUUCCAUGGACAGAGAAGAGAGAAUAAUGGGAAUAUGCUGGAGGUUGGGCAGUAUCUGUCAGAUACAUCCUGCCUUAUAUUGGACAUUCAUAUAUAUUAAAGAAAAUAGCCCCUUCAUGGUAAAUGUAUCAAAAUGCUUAUUCAGCACUUAUAUGAUGGAUGGGAUUAUGGGUCCCUUCUGCCAUAUUUCCUAAUGGGCUCUCCUCUCCCACAGGAAAGAAAGACACCUUUAUGUAAAUAAUCAUUCUGCAGAAGAGAAGUGAAACAGGGUUAAAUUGCAGACUGAUUACUUUUUUUUUUUUUUCCCUCCAGGAUUCUGCUUCCAGUUAGAUGUUCUUCAGCCUGUCUGCCUCUUUUCUGUCUGUCUGACAAGGCCAUAAAUCAGACAGGACCUUGCCAGUGUGUUGUGGAACUCAACUGGUGCAAUGAGAGUAUACUCUCUAAAUGACCAGAACAGCUCUGCCUGGGACCAGCUGUUACUGCUUCUCUGCCAGAUAUGCUUGCUGAAGGUUUCAACAGACAGCUGAAACUUUUGUGCUUUUCUAGCUUUCGUAGCAACAAUAACUGAAGACCUGCAGCUGAAGGCUCACUGGUGACCAGAUAAACCAUCCAGACAACCAUAAGACUCCUUGCCUCUACUGGAAAUCGAUGCAUCUUUGAGAAGCAUGUCAAAGUUAUGAUCUGAAGUGUGUGUGGUUAAACCCAGACUUUUUGAAUCUAUUAAUGUAUGCAAAAUUAAUAUGCAAAAUGGCUGCGCUAUGAAAUGCAUCACCUAUUGACAGCUAUUAAGCACCAUUAGAAAUGCCUGAUACUCCCCAGUCCUACACAGGACACUAAGAAAUCAGAGGUGGUGGUCAAACGUUUCCUCUCAGUGACAUUGGUGGCUCUGGAUUUUUUUUUUUUCAUUUAAUUUUAAAAACAAAACCUUAAAAAGGUAAUCUGCAGUACUCUCUUCACACUUUUGAAAGUGAAAUCUUGUUUACAUCGUACAAAUAACAGGACUAUGCCUCUAUAGUUUGUCAUACUGAGACUCUGAGAGCUUUUGAGUUAUUUUCAUAUAUGUUUUCAUUAAUUUGUUUUAGUAUCUUUACCUUCUUAUUCUUUUUAAAUUAGUCUUUACAAUGCUUGUGGCAAAAUACAUUUAAAAACUUUUAAGCAACAUUUGAUCCAUUAUACUGAAAUUUUUUUUCAAUCUUUUUCUAUCUGUGUAUAAUCAGGAGAAAGAAAGAUUCUUCAUAAACUUGUUUCUAUUUUAUCAAUAUCUUCUUAUCUUCCUCAGUGAUGCAAAAGCAAUUUCUGCCUUAUUGUGUGCUUCAUGUGGACUUUGAGUAAUUUUUCAAGUGAAAUAAGACUUCCCCUUAACCAUAAACCAAAGGAAAUUAUUUAUUUUUCUGUAGUCAUAUUUGAGCCAUGUAUUAAAAUAUUCUUGAACUAACUUUUCCCCAAACCUUUUUAUUGGUAGAUCAUUUCAAUCAUGUUCUAGGUAACAGCAAGAGCUUUUUUGAAACAUUCAC